ACUCCUACGGGAGGCAGCAGUAAGGAAUAUUGCGCAAUGGACGAAAGUCUGACGCAGCGACGCCGCGUGAGCGAUGAAGGCCUUCGGGUCGUAAAGCUCUGUGGGGAGAGACGAAUAAGGUAUGGCUAAUAUCCAGUGCGAUGACGGUAUCUCCUUAGCAAGCACCGGCUAACUCUGUGCCAGCAGCCGCGGUAAU
rnacentral:rRNA from 1 species